rnacentral:rRNA from 1 species
CAGUCGCCGCGGGAAAACGGAGGGAGCUAGCGUUAUUCGGAAUUACUGGGCGUAAAGCGCACGUAGGCGGCUUUGUAAGUUAGAGGUGAAAGCCUGGAGCUCAACUCCAGAAUUGCCUUUAAGACUGCAUCGCUUGAAUCCAGGAGAGGUGAGUGGAAUUCCGAGUGUAGAGGUGAAAUUCGUAGAUAUUCGGAAGAACACCAGUGGCGAAGGCGGCUCACUGGACUGGUAUUGACGCUGAGGUGCGAAAGCGUGGGGAGCAAACAGGAUUAGAUACCCCCGUAGUCCCUGUCUCUUAUAU